rnacentral:rRNA from 1 species
GAUGAACGCUAGCUACAGGCUUAACACAUGCAAGUCGAGGGGUAGCAGGGUAGCAAUACCGCUGACGACCGGCGCACGGAUGAGUAACACGUAUCCAACCUUCCCAUAACUCAGGAAUAGCCUUUCGAAAGAAAGAUUAAUACCUGAUAGCACUUAAGAAAGGCAUCUUUUUUAAGUUAAAGAUUUAUCGGUUAUGGAUGGGGAUGCGUUCCAUUAGAUAGUUGGUGAGGUAACGGCUCACCAAGUCUUCGAUGGAUAGGGGUUCUGAGAGGAAGGUCCCCCACAUUGGUACUGAGACACGGACCAAACUCCUACGGGAGGCAGCAGUGAGGAAUAUUGGUCAAUGGGCGAGAGCCUGAACCAGCCAAGUAGCGUGAAGGAUGAAGGUCCUAUGGAUUGUAAACUUCUUUUAUAGUAGAAUAAAGUGAGCCACGUGUGGUUUUUUGUAUGUAUACUAUGAAUAAGGAUCGGCUAACUCCGUGCCAGCAGCCGCCGUAACAC